GGACUUCCACGGCUUGUCCCAGGAGCUUCUACAACAGCUGGCAUUGAGAGUUCAGUUAUAAUAUUUUUCGCCAGUUUUUCCCAGCCCGGCCCCCAAGCGUCUGAUUUUAAAGUUCCCGCCUCAGGCUCCGGGGCGCCUACCCUGCAAGGGCGCCAGUUCUCCGACACCUGCUAGGGAAUGAAUCCCCAUCCCAGGAGGAGGGCGUGGCGGGGACGGAAGAAACAACCACACGAUCUGUGACAGUGACCAAGCUUUAGAGGCCCCGCGUGCCUGCCGGGCGCCUGAGCCCACACCGUCCACGCUUCCCUGCCCCGGCGGGAACCAGCUGUUCUCCUUGCACCGGCGAGGGCGCGGGGUCACCCCCGCCGGGCCGACCCCAGGCGUGAGCUCCAGAACCCCCUCCCAAUCGCCCCGUCUUGGGAGCGCAGGGAGCCUGGCUCUUCCCUGCCAAUAACGAAGUCAUCACGGACAUUAGGAAAGCGGGGCGAGGCUGGGAAGGGAGCGGCUUUUAUCCGGGGUCCGCCCCCUUCAAUUCUCCAGAGCAGCGGUCCCUAAAGUGGGGUCGGGACGGGGAUUGAGGCUGAGCUCGCUUCUUCCUUGUUUUCCGGUUCUUGCGCCUCUGAAGCGAACUAGGCCUGGAGGAGUGCUGGGGGUCGAGAAAACAGGGUUGGGGGUGACCGAGAGAAAGGUGGGGCGGGCCCCUGGGCCCCGGUCGAGGCGGAUUCCGAGGCGGAGCCGCUGCCUGCCUGCGCCUCGCCUGCUCGGUCCACCCAACAGCUCCGCCCUAGACUCGCAGCUGCGGAAGCGGUGGGCCGGGUGGUGAUUACAACCCUGAGCGCUGUCCCUUUGGAACCUGACUCCCGACUCCGCUCAACAACCGGGACGUUGCGACCUCAAAGCCCUCUGUGCUUCUCCAUCGAUACCGGGCCGCCUCUCUCGCCUGCAGCGCACGCCUCCGCCCCCAGGGGCAGCGCAGCGAGGCGGAGACCCUCCUGCAUUCCGAGCGUGCGGGGCAGCCCUCAGACUGAAGACCUGCGACUUCGUGGGACGCUGGUGUCCGCCACUGCGCCCCUCCAGGGAGCAGAGGCGGCUCUGGAAGUCGGUUUAGGGCGGACACCGCGACUGGAGGGGCGCAGAACGCUCUUCCCAGCGUCCCGGGCUCCACCGGCACAAUUUUAAAACCAGGGGCGAAAUCCGAGUCCUGCCGCCACGCGGGGGUGGAGCGUGACCGCCUCGCCGCGCGCUGUCUCAGGCUCCGCCGGCUUUAGCGCCGCGAGGCUGCCAGGUAAAAUACCUCUUUUCUGACAAGACUAGGACUCUUACAUAGACUACCAUGAACUAAAAGAAGCACAACAUUGCCAGAGUAACCUGUGAUACUGUCUUCAUGCGAACUUGGUAUCCUGUUUCCAUCCCAGCCUUCUAUAACCCAGUAACAUCUUUUUGGAAACCAGUGGGUGAGAAAGACACCUGGUCAGGAACGCGGACCACAGGACAACUCAGGCUCACCCACGGCAUCAGACUAAAGGCAAACAAGGACUCUGUAUAAAGUACCGGUGGCAUGUGUAUUAGUGGAGAUGCAGCCUGUGCUCUGCAGACAGGGAGUCACACAGACACUUUUCUAUAAUUUCUUAAGUGCUUUGAAUGUUCAAGUAGAAAGUCUAACAUUAAAUUUGAUUGAACAAUUGUAUAUUCAUGGAAUAUUUUGGAAUGGAAUACCAAAAAAUGGCAAUAGUGGUUCUUUCUGGAUGGAAGAUAAACUUUUCUUCUUUAAAAUAAAUUUUAUUUUAUAUAUUUGAGGUUGACCACAUGACCUUAAGGAUACAUAUAGACAGUAAACUGGUUACUACAGUGAAGCAAAUUAACAUAUCUACCAUCUUACAUAGUUACAUUUUUUUGUGUGACAGGAACAGCUAAAAUCUACGUAUUUAACAAAAAUCCUAAAGACAAUACAUUUUUAUUAACUAUAGCCCUCAUGAUGUACAUUAGAUCUCUAACUUGAUCAUCCUAUAUGUCUGCUACUUUGUAUUUUCUUAAUGUACGUCUCCCCAUUUGCUAUUGGUCAUUUCCUAUUUGGCUCAUUUUUCAACUGGGUUGUUUUCCUGUUAUUAAAAGAGUUCUUUAC